UACGGGGGGGGGCAAGCGUUGUUCGGAAUUACUGGGCGUAAAGGGCUCGUAGGUGGCCAACUAAGUCGGACGUGAAAUCCCUCAGCUUAACUGGGGAACUGCGUCCGAUACUGGAUGGCUUGAGUUUGGGAGAGGGAUGCGGAAUUCCAGGUGUAGCGGUGAAAUGCGUAGAUAUCUGGAGGAACACCGGUGGCGAAGGCGGCAUCCUGGACCAACACUGACACUGAGGAGCGAAAGCCAGGGGAGCAAACGGG
rnacentral:rRNA from 1 species